rnacentral:rRNA from 1 species
UACGAAGGGGCUAGCGUUGUUCGGAAUACUGGGCGUAAAGCGUGCGCAGGCGGCCUUCCAAGUCAGGGGUGAAAGCCCAGAGCUCAACUCUGGAAUUGCCUUUGAGACUGUGAGGCUUGAGUACGGGAGAGGUGAGUGGAAUUCCCAGUGUAGAGGUGAAAUUCGUAGAUAUUGGGAAGAACACCGGUGGCGAAGGCGGCUCACUGGCCCGAAACUGACGCUCAUGCACGACAGCGUGGGGAUCAAACAGG